AUGAAAUUUAGACUGAACUGGAUUUUGCUUCUGAGUAUUUUGCAAGAUGUCCAGUGUGAUGUGCAGCUGGUGGAGUCUGGGGGAGAUGUGAGACAGCCUGGGGGUUCUCUGCAUCUCUCCUGCAAAGCUUCUGGAUUUACCUUCAGUAGCUCCUGGAUGAACUGGGUCCUCCAGGCUCCAGGGAAGGGACUGGAAUGGGUUGCAAGAAUUAACCCUGAUGGAAAUAAUACAUACUACACAGACUCCAUGAAAGGUCUAUUCACCAUCUCCUGA